AGUGAACGCUGGCGGCGUGCUUAACACAUGCAAGUCGAACGGUAACAGGAACUAGCUUGCUAGUUUGCUGACGAGUGGCGCACGGGUGAGUAAUAUAUAGUUAAUGUACCCCAAAGACUGGGAUAGCCACUGGAAACGGUGAUUAAUACUAGAUACACCUCUUUAACAUAAGUUAGAGAGGGAAAUGUCUUUUCGCUUUGGGAUCAGACUAUAUCCUAUCAGUUAGUUGGUGAGGUAAUGGCUCACCAAGGCAAUGACGGGUAGCGGGUUUGAGAGGAUGAUCCGCCACACUGGUACUGAGACACGGACCAGACUCCUACGGGAGGCAGCAGUGAGGAAUAUUGCACAAUGGAGGAAACUCUGAUGCAGCAACGCCGCGUGGAGGAUGACGCAUUUCGGUGUGUAAACUCCUUUAUGAGUCAAGAAAAUGACGGUAGCUCAUGAAUAACGCACCGGCUAACUCCGUGCCAGCAGCCGUACGG
rnacentral:rRNA from 1 species